CAACCCGGAUUCAGGUGAUUCAUAAUAAUUUUCGGAUCGAUCGCAAGAUCGAUGCAUCAUUCAAGUUUCUGCCCUAUCAGCUUUGGAUGGUAGGGUAUUGGCCUACCAUGGCAUUAACGGGUAACGGAGAAUUAGGGUUCGAUUCCGGAGAGGGAGCCUGAGAAAUGGCUACCACAUCUAAGGAAGGCAGCAGGCGCGUAAAUUACCCAAUCCUGACACAGGGAGGUAGUGACAAUAAAUAACAAUGUUGGGCUCUCGAGUCUGACAAUUGGAAUGAGAACAAUUUAAAUCCCUUAUCGAGGAUCAAUUGGAGGGCAAGUCUGGUGCCAGCAGCCGCGGUAAUUCCAGCUCCAAUAGCGUAUACUAAAGUUGUUGCAGUUAAAAAGCUCGUAGUUGGAUUUCUGGUCUCGGAACACGGUCAGCUCCUAGGAGUUCGUACCUGUGAGCCGGGGCCAUCCUCGGGGAGAACAUAUCUGCCAUUAAGUUGGUGGGUAUGGGACCCUCGUCAUUUACUGUGAGCAAAAUAGAGUGUUCAAAGCAGGCUUACGCCGUUGAAUACAUUAGCAUGGAAUAAUAAGAUAGGA
rnacentral:rRNA from 1 species